rnacentral:rRNA from 1 species
AGCAGCCGCGGUAAUUCCAGCUCCAAUAGCGUAUAUUAAAGUUGUUGCAGUUAAAAAGCUCGUAGUUGAAUUUCGGGACCAAUUUGUUGGUCGUGCCUCGGUACGUACUGGUAUUAUUGGUUUCUCCCUUCUGAAGAACCUCGAUGCCAUUAAUUUGGUGUCGUGGGGAUUCAGGACUGUUACUUUGAAAAAAUUAGAGUGUUUAAAGCAAGCAUACGCUUGAAUACAUUAGCAUGGAAUAAUGAAAUAGGACGUUUGAUUCUAUUUUGUUGGUUUCUAGGAUCGACGUAAUGAUUAAUAGGGAUAGUUGGGGGCAUUAGUAUUCAAUUGUCAGAGGUGAAAUUCUUGGAUUUAUUGAAGACUAACUACUGCGAAAGCAUUUGCCAAGGAUGUUUUCAUUAAUCAAGAACGAAAGUUAGGGGAUCGAAGACGAUCAGAUACCGUCGUAGUCUUAACCAUAAACUAUGCCGACUAGGGAUCGGAUGAUGUUAAUUUUUAAUGUACUCAUUCGGCGCCUUAC